GACGAACGCUGGCGGCGUGCUUAACACAUGCAAGUCGAACGGAAAGGCCCUGCUUUUGUGGGGUGCUCGAGUGGCGAACGGGUGAGUAACACGUGAGUAACCUGCCCUUGACUUUGGGAUAACUUCAGGAAACUGGGGCUAAUACCGGAUAGGAGCUCCUGCUGCAUGGUGGGGGUUGGAAAGUUUCGGCGGUUGGGGAUGGACUCGCGGCUUAUCAGCUUGUUGGUGGGGUAGUGGCUUACCAAGGCUUUGACGGGUAGCCGGCCUGAGAGGGUGACCGGCCACAUUGGGACUGAGAUACGGCGCAGACUCCUACGGGCGGCAGCAGUGGGGAAUAUUGCACAAUGGGCGGAAGCCUGAUGCAGCAACGCCACGUGCGGGAUGACGGCCUUCGGGUUGUAAACCGCUUUCGCCUGUGACGAAGCGUGAGUGACGGUAAUGGGUAAAGAAGCACCGGCUAACUACGUG
rnacentral:rRNA from 1 species